AAAGAAGACAAGAAGGAAAAAUUCUUCUGUGGAAAUAGUGGUUAUGGAGAAAGAAGUUGUCUAACCUUGUCAAACAUGCCAUUUGAUUGUCCAUACACCUGCCGCGUGUGUCCCUAUUCUGAUGGGGAAAACUAUAGAGAAGGCAAUACACCUGUAGUUAUGUUGGGUUCCAGUGAUGCAGCCGCAUGUAGAAGCAAUCUGCUUAGUUUGGCACCAUUGUUUUAUCUAUAUUCCAAGGCCUAUUAACUUUUUCUUGGUCAUGUUCCGGUAGAUCUCUGUUUCAUCCGUUUGAUUUUUUUUCUUUUUACUUUUUCUGUGAGAUCACAUUUAUAAGAAGGUCCAAUCUGUACGUAAUCUCAUCAUAGUAAUAACGAAUAAAGGUAACGUUGUAGUUA